rnacentral:rRNA from 1 species
AAUCAACGCUGGCGGCGUGCCUCAGACAUGCAAGUCGAACGAUUAAAGCUCUCUUCGGAGAGUGUAUAGAGUGGCGCACGGGUGAGUAGCACGUAAGUAAUCUACCCUCGAGUGGGGAAUAACGUUCGGAAACGAACGCUAAUACCGCAUAAUGCAGCGGCAUCGCAAGAUGACAGUUGUUAAAGGAGUAAUUCGCUUGA